rnacentral:lncRNA from 1 species
CCAGGGCUGCCAGCAUCACACGGAGGGCCCUCGGUGUGAGCAGUGCCAGCCAGGAUACUACGGGGACGCCCAGCGGGGGACACCACAGGACUGCCAGCUGUGCCCCUGCUACGGAGACCCUGCUGCCGGCCAGGCUGCCCACACUUGUUUUCUGGACACAGACGGCCACCCCACCUGUGAUGCGUGCUCCCCAGGCCACAGUGGGCGUCACUGUGAGAGGUGCGCCCCUGGCUACUAUGGCAACCCCAGCCAGGGCCAGCCAUGCCAGAGAGACAGCCAGGUGCCAGGGCCCAUAGGCUGCAACUGUGACCCCCAAGGCAGCGUCAGCAGCCAGUGUGAUGCUGCUGGUCAGUGCCAGUGCAAGGCCCAGGUGGAAGGCCUCACUUGCAGCCACUGCCGGCCCCACCACUUCCACCUGAGUGCCAGCAACCCAGACGGCUGCCUGCCCUGCUUCUGUAUGGGCAUCACCCAGCAGUGCGCCAGCUCUGCCUACAC